AGUUCGAUUAUGGCUCAGGAUUGAACGCUGGCGGGAUGUUUACACAUGCAAGUCGAACGGCAGCAUCGACUUCGGUCCGGUGGCGAGUGGCGAACGGGUGAGUAAUGUAUCGGAACGUGCCUAGUAGCGGGGAUAACUACGCGAAAGCGUAGCUAAUACCGCAUACGCCCUUCGGGGAAAGCGGGGGACCUUCGGGCCUCGCACUAUUAGAGCGGCCGAUAUCGGAUUAGCUAGUUGGUGGGGUAACGGCUCACCAAGGCGACGAUCCGUAGCUGGUUUGAGGACGACCAGCCACACCCUGACUGAGACACGGCCCAGACUCCUACGAGGCAGCAGCGGGGAAUUUUGACAAUGGGAAACCCUGAUCCAGCCAUCCGCUGUGCGAUGAAGGCCUUCGGGUUGUAAAGCACUUUUGGUAGUGAAAGAAACGGCACGGGAUAAUACCCGUGCAACUGACGGUACCGCAGAAUAAGCACCGGCCAACUACGCGCCAGCAGCCGCGGUAAUACGUAGGGUGCAAGCGUUAAUCGGAAUUAUUGGCGUAAAGCGUGUAAGCAGGCGGUUCGGAAAAGAAAGAUGAAAUCCCAGAGCUUAACUUCUUCUGAACCGUAUUUAACUACUGAGCUAGAGUGUGUCAGAGGGAGGGACUCGCGUGUAGCAGUGAAAUGCGUAGAUAUGCGGAGGAACACCGAUGGCGAAGGCAGCCUCCCGGGAUAACACUGGACGCUCAUGCACGAAAAGCGUGGGAGUAAACAGGAUUAGAUACCCUGGUAGUCCACGCCCUAAACGAUGUCAACUAGCUGCUGGGGCCUUUCGGGCCUUGGUAGCGCAGCUAACGCGUGAAGUUGACCGCCUGGGAGUACGGUCGCAAGAUUAAAACUCAAAGGAAUUGACGGGGACCUGCACAAGCGGAUGAUGGAUUAAUUCGAUGCAACGCGAAAACCUUACCUACCCUGACAUGUCUGGAAUCCUGAAGAGUUUUGGGAGGUUUCCGCAAGAGAACCGGAACACAGGUGCUGCAUGGUUGUCAGUCGUCAGCUCGUGUCGUGAGAUGUUGGGUUGGAGUCCUGCAACGAGCGCAACCCUUGUCAUUAGUUGCUAAUGAAAGGGCACUCUAAUGAGACUGCCGGUGGCCAAAACCGAGGAAGGUGGGGAUGACGUCAAGUCCUCAUGGCUCCUUAUGGGUAGGGCUUCACAUCGUCAUACAAUGCAGCCGACAGAGGGUCGCCAACCCGGCGAGGGGGAGCUAAUCCCGCGAAAACCCGAUCAGUCCGGAUCGUAGUCUGGUAAACUCGACCGCGCAAGGUCGGGAAUCGCCAGUAAUCGCGGAUCAGCAUGUCGCGGUGAAUAUGUUCCCGGGUCUUGUACACACCGCCCACCAAGCACUGGGAGUGGGUUUUACCAGAAGUAGUUAGCCUAACCGUAAGGAGGGCGAUUUUGUCACGGUAGGAUCUAUGACUGGGGUGAAGUCGUAACAAGGCAA
rnacentral:rRNA from 1 species